CUCAAGUAGCAAUAUCAGUAAUAUUUCUUCACCUCUGUAGCUCUUUUGGUUUACAAUUGUAUAUCAGAAUUUUAGUGAUAGGUCCAUGUAUGUGAGAAUAUAAUUAAGCUUAAGGUUUGGACCUCUAAAUAAUACAUCUUCAGUCUGACAAUUAAUAAUAAGCUUUUAAUUUUGCAGCUACUUCUAAUAAACAAGCAAAAAAAUAGUUAUGUUUACAUUAAAGUGAUUUGAUUUGCGCGACUUAGCACACAGGAAUCUUAAAUUAACAGAAGAUUUAUGAUUGCAGUUGUUUUCAGCACACGUUUAAAAUCUGCUUUGAUGUUUAUCAUCCCGUGUUCAUUCGGGGGACACAGACUCCUGCCAGUUGCCAGGCUAGGCUGCAGAGCGGAUGUAGCUGAAGUAGACUUGACGCUCAAAUGUGGUUAAAAACAUGAAACAUCGACUUCCUCAGCAGAACCAAUGGUGACAGCACAGCGCUGAUUCACAAAUGACAAACACCUUUGUAACACACUACUUCCAUAUCAUUGCAGGCAGGCUCAGAUUACAUAUCAUGGAGUUUUAGUACAACAUAUCUCAACAAUUCACAAAAGCUGCGCCACAUAGGGUAAAGCUGAUUUUCAGUACAGCUAAUUGUUACCAAAAAUACAGCACUAUAAAUAACUUCACAAUGUAACAUAUUUAGGCUAUUUAUUGGAUUAGAGGGGUCAUGAUGGUCUAAAUUAGCCCUCUAGCUGCUGACCGGUACCCUAAGCCCAGGUAGGGACCUAAUUAAGAAAAGCCGCCAGUGAGAUCAGCUUUUUAACAAGCUAUUAAUAGCAGUUUGGGUCUAAUCUUGGGAAUGGCCAGUGAAAACGGUCAAGCUGUCAGUAAACUUGGACCAGGAUGUCCUGGUGCAAGUAGGACACAGAAGCACAUAUGCAAAAAAAAAAAGACAAACACAUAAGGCAUCACUUGACCAUCUAUCUUUGCCCUUUCAUAACAUUUUCACUACAACAGAUGCGUGUCUCCCUGUGAAAAGAAACCACGACCUAAAGGGUGAGUAAGCCCUUGGACCUUUAAUAUGAGAAUCAAACAAACAAGGACACAGAUAAAAGUACACUGGAAAUUAACAAAAAGCUGUCACAAUAAACACAUCUUCACACAAUGCCACCUCCACUGAAGUAGGCUAAAGGAAAAAGGACAAAGUGUGAACGAGGAAGAAUGGAGUUUCGCAAGACUGCAAAGUGAGUUACAUGCCAUGAUAGUUCCUCUAUUUUGUUCUGCUUACUGUUUUUUCAUUAAUUCAUAGUAGUGAAACUGACAUUUGUCUUCCUAUUGUGUUCCUAGCAGUACAAGCAUUACAUGGUAGCUGGCCUAUACUCGUCUUACAGUAAAUACACACCAUUUCACCCAUUACUCAUGAGUGCCUACUAUCAAUUUGGAAACUGAAAAUGCAUCUGAGUGGCUAUUAAAAAGAAUGAACGCACGACAUAAUUUCAGUAAUACAGCAGUAAUAAAUAUUGCUCUCAUUAAAUACAAAUACAUUCAUUUUAACCAGUCAGUUAGAUUUCAUGUGAUUAAUAGAAACAGUGCCACACACAAACCGAAACGUGAAGACAGAGAGAGGAUGAUGGGGAAGCGGAUGAGGGCUAAUGAAUGGGUAUUAACACUGAAAAUAAGCAAAUCUACUGCGCCAUAUGCAGUACCCUGUUAUCUAUAAGCAAAAACUUGCAAUGAAGGAAUCUACUUGCGUAACGUUUAAAACAUCAGAAAGGGGGUUAAAACGCUCGUAGAGAGAAGCCGUAGACAUAUUUAUUUAUUUUGAUAAAAAACAGAGCGAUAAAUCCAUCAGGGAGAUACCCCCACACAGGAGCUGCCCCGCGAGGAGAGGACACCGAGGCUCUGCUGAGGUGGUGUAGUUUUUUUGGUUGGGUGUCAUCGUCAGAUGGUAGUAGCAUGGAGCCUGAAAAACUGUCAGUAUAGUGGUUUACACAUUUGCUAGGCAGAUCCCUGGUUCUGUCCCGAGGGGAGGCACAAGUCCCUGUGGGGUUCUGCCAGGAAGGGCAUCCGGUGUAAGAAGAAAAAAAGUAAAACAAAUUGCCAAAUCAAACAUGCUGAGCUACCAGCUGUAGCGACCCCUUGUGAACAAGGGAGCAGCUGAAGGUAGCUCACAUACUUUCUGUCUUUCUUGCAUCUCAAUUUAUAAAUGUAAAUACUUCUUACUUACAUUUGUAAUCCCUAGUCAGGACACAUAACUCCACAAUAUUUAGUUAUGCUCUUAGAUAAUAUGAUGUUAUAAUUUGACCCUGCAUGAGUAAAAUUCGGUCUAUUGCCAAUGCCGUAUGCAGCAAUACUUGCAGAUUAAAAAACGAAAAGAAAAAUCUGAUCUGAUCUGGAGUCACAUCGCUGCCAUCACAUGAUUUGCUGAUUUUCCCUCAUUAAAGUUUAUGGCAGGACAGGCUGCCUCAAUGUUAUUAUUGGUGUGUUCAACAGUGCCUUAUACCUGAAAACGAAGAAAGGAAUUUCUUUUACACAUCUGGAAAUUGUGUCUUGAGCCCAAACUCUUAAAAACAGAUGCAGUUUGUGUGGAAGAAAAAAGGGAAUUAACUUUUCAGAUGCUGUGCAGGUCCCUGAGGACCCGUGAGGAGUGCACAACCACCUCGUGGCUUGAUGGAAGGAGGCUUUGCACCAAUAAGCCUGCUUAAAUCCUUCUGCCUAAAAACACCCACCCCACUUAAACACUAUGUUUCUCUAGCUCCUCAGUCAUAAUUAGUUUCACCAAGUUUUAGCAUUUAGGCGUAGAUUAUACUAUGAAACAAUGGCGAAGCCUUUACCAUAAUUUGGCCAAAGCAGGACAGGAUGUAACGGUUUAGAAUAUCCAACAGUAUUUAUUUAAAUAAUUUUACAUGUUUUAUACAUAUUAAACACACAAAAGUAUUAAGUUUAAUCUCAGUGGUGCAAUGAGUUAAUUCAAAAAUUGAAAUUACAUCAGUGGUGCUUCAAAUUGAAAUCGACUUAUCCAAAGUAUUAAAUGAACAAAUUAGCAUAGUCUACCUAUAAAGUGCAACUCGCCAUGCCCAGCUAGCUGA